rnacentral:rRNA from 1 species
AUAUCAGUCAUGCAUAGCAUAUCAAUAAGCGGAGGAAAAGAAACUAACAAGGAUUCCCUUAGUAACGGCGAGUGAAGCGGGAAGAGCUCAAAUUUGAAAUCUUCAAGGUUUUACCUUGACGAAUUGUAGUUUAAAGAAGUGUUUUCUGUUGAAGUUUUGGUAAAAGUUCUUUGGAAUAGGACAUCAUAGAGGGUGAGAAUCCCGUAUUUGACCAUUACUUUCAGCUUUGUGAUACACUUUCAAAGAGUCGGAUUGUUUGGGAAUGCAGUCCAAAAUGGGUGGUAAAUUUCAUCUAAAGCUAAAUAUUGGCGAGAGACCGAUAGCGAACAAGUACCGUGAGGGAAAGAUGAAAAGAACUUUGAAAAGAGAGUUAAACAGUACGUGAAAUUGUCAAAAGGGAAGCGUUUGACACCAGUGUUGUUUUCUCGAAAAUCAAUUAAAAAGAGUUGGAUUUUGUGUUGUAUUGACUUUAUCAGCUUUCUUCACUCUUUUCCAGCUUUUUUUAAUGCACUUUUCGUUUAACAAGUCAACAUCAGUUUCUUUUGUUGUAAAAAGGUCAUUGGAAGGUGGCUUUCUCUUCGGAGAAAGUGUUUAUAGCCUUUGACUCAUGCAAUCGGAGAGACUGAGGUCUGCAGCGUAGAUCCUUCGGGGUUAGAUACAUUUGUGCUAAGGUUAUAGCUUUUCAUAGACAACUUGUUGACUAUGUUUAGUCUUGUAGCUUACUCGCUUAUGCUAUUUUACCUACGCUUAGGAUGUUGAACUCUAUCACACACAG